GCCAGCAGCCAUAUCACCCUGUAGCCCAAGACUGGUUGCCCACUGAAGCUAAGCAGGGCUGAGCCUGGUCAGUACCUGGAUGGGAGACCUCCUGGGAAAACUAGGUUGCUGUUGGAA
rnacentral:rRNA from 1 species